GCGAUGGUGGCAUAGUGGUAAGCAUAGCUACUUGCUAAGCAGUUGAUCUGGGUUCGAUUCCUGGCUAUCACA
rnacentral:tRNA from 1 species